CUGACUGUUGCCGUCCUCCAG
rnacentral:miRNA from 2 species